rnacentral:rRNA from 1 species
UACGUAGGGUGCGAGCGUUGUCCGGAAUUACUGGGCGUAAAGAGCUCGUAGGUGGUUUGUCGCGUUGUUCGUGAAAACUCACAACUCAAUUGUGGGCGUGCGGGCGAUACGGGCAGACUGGAGUACUGCAGGGGAGACUGGAAUUCCUGGUGUAGCGGUGGAAUGCGCAGAUAUCAGGAAGAACACCCGUGGCUAAGGCGGCUCUCUAGUACGGUACUGACGCUGAGACGCGAAAGCGUGGGGAGCAAACAGG